rnacentral:tRNA from 1 species
UCCCGUGUGCCUCAGUUGGUAGAGAAUGGCCCUUGCAAUGCCAGAGUUGUGGGUUCGAUUCCCACAGGGGAC